rnacentral:rRNA from 1 species
AACUGCGAGUGAAGCGGGAAAAGCUCAAAUUUAAAAUCUGGCGGUCCUUGGCCGUCCGAGUUGUAAUUUAGAGAAGCGUCUUCCGCGCCGGACCGUGCACAAGUCUCCUGGAAUGGAGCGUCGUAGAGGGUGAGAAUCCCGUCUUUGGCACGGACCCCCGGUGCUUCUGUGAUGCGCUCUCGAAGAGUCGAGUUGUUUGGGAAUGCAGCUCAAAAUGGGUGGUGAACUCCAUCUAAAGCUAAAUAUUGGCGAGAGACCGAUAGCGAACAAGUACCGUGAGGGAAAGAUGAAAAGCACUUUGGAAAGAGAGUGAAACAGUACGUGAAAUUGUUGAAAGGGAAACGCUUGAAGUCAGUCGCGUCGACCGAGACUCAGCCUCGCCUCGGCUUGGUGUACUUCUCGGGCUGACGGGUCAGCGUCGAUUUUGCUGCUCGGAAAAUGACAAGGGAAAGGUGGCACCUUUGCGGGUGUGUUAUAGUCUCCUGUCGCAUACGAGGGGUGGGAUCGAGGAACUCAGCACGCGCCUUUUGGUGUCGGGGCUUCG